CCCAACAUUUGAGUUGCAGAGCGCAGCAGAGGGGGGGAUCUGGAAAGUUACAAAUAGUUUAAUUUUACUUUGUUUUUUUUACAUAUAUAUAUGUAUAUAGGAUCUGCUCCAGCUUUUGAACUUUAAAUAUCCCGGGGAAUACAGCACAAAGAGUAUAUUUUAAAAAAUCAUUUUUUGAGGUAAUCACCCUGUUCACGGACUGCCUUGCCGAGCACGUUGUUGCAGUAAGUAGACCCCCGCCUUCUGAAUCGGUUACGUUACGACCCUCUAGUCCAUCCUAAUUCUGCUGCUGCCAGUCGAAUUGAAUGCCGAACUUUCAAAGGAAGUGGCCUACAACUCCAGUAACAGCCCAGAAAAAAAUAAAUAUUUUCCUCAAAAUGUACUUUUUCUUAUGCAUCUUUGAGCACUGCAGUUAUUUAAAUUUGAUUGAAGUCAAUGCGUUUUAAGCCUAGUAAGGAAAAAUAAAUCGCAAAGACUCUGUCCCCAAGUCCCAAUAAUACUGUUGCAAAAUGUUUUCCUUGUUUUGAAAGAAAUCGUCUUGUUUCUGUUUCUUAUAAGGCACAAUCAACAGACUGCAUUCAAAAACCUCUGCAAAGUUUUAAUUCUGCAUGGAAUUGUGAAUCCAAACAGGAAAAAGUAAAUUCUACUUCCGAGUAGAUAUUCAGUGAAACUAUGGAAAUGGUUCGCUCUGCUUUAUCACAAUGUACUAAAACUGGAAAUCAUUUCAUUUUUUCAUCAGAUGUAUUGUAUCAGUAUAAGCACAUACCAGGUUUAGAAAGAAGGUUGAAAUUGGUUUAGUCAGAAGCAACGCUCUUUGUUUUUAUAUGGUGCUAAUCGUUAGUUAUUGCAUAGCCACAAAGUAAUUGUACUCCAAAUUUCGAGUUCUAAAAAUCCAAUAAUGCGUGAAUUUUAUAACCUGAUUAGGAUUUUAAAGGAUACUUAUCACAAACUAAGUGAUUAGAAUACAACUAAUAAUAAUAUAAUUUCAGCCUUUAUACUUGUCGGUUAGCGUAGCAAAAUUGCAUAAACCAGUGUCUUGAAAGUACUUUUUUUUAUUUUCAGCUCAAGGUAUUGUUAGCUAACAGCUAUCUGAGUCUAUUGAGGUACUUGUUGUGUCCCCUAACUUGAUUGGUAAAUGCAGGUUUCUGAAGAAACAUUUCAGUUUUUAAAUAGACAACACAGGGAAGGUCAUCCCUCAACAAAUUAUGAUACUACUUAGGACAUUACCACUUUUGCCAUCUGACUGGAGUUAACCAUUUCUUACAUCAUUUAAGCGAUUUAUACUACUUUCAGAAUUAGAUGCAAGCUGAAAUCACAGAACUUGCGUGGGUAGAUUUUUUUGAUGAUGAUCACUUGGUUCACCAGAAAACUCUGAAUUCCUAUUUUAUUUCUCUUAGUACCUAUUACUGGAAUAUUGAUACUUGUGAGAGAGGAAUAUAGUCCUCCAUAGCUGCUUUUUCUUGCUUAACCAUUAUCAGUAAGAAAGGGCGUCCUUUCUUUUUAGCAGAAUGCACACUCUUAUGGUCUGUCGAGAACAAAGCCUCCCCAGCCCCCCUUUUGCAUGUUCAAUGCUUUGCAAAUUUAGAAAGGCUGCAUUGAGUUCGGGAUAGGUCAGGGGGCAGGAGAGGGGUAGAAAGGUCAACACAUUUUGAUUAUGGGUCAGUAGACAAUUGGCAUACAGUCUAUAUGCAAGUAAAAUAGAACAAAUUCCUGAUGGAAAUCCAUCCUGGACGAUUCAAGUCGCAGUUAACAUUUAUUUUUCAACUAACCAAAAUUUUUUUUUUGCUUGCUUUCAUCUAAAAAGAAAAAAAACCUAUUCAGCUUGUGAUGAAUUUGCAGAAAAACCAAACAAUAUGUAAAUAUUCUGCACAACUGAUACAUUUAUAAAGUGUCACUUUUUGCGAUGCUUAAAAUUUAUCACAGAAGUGAUGCUCGUUGUUUUUGUAACACUAUGCCAUUCAGGCAAAUACAAUUACAAUACUUUAUAAGUAAACAGGAUUGGUGAAAACUUAGCUGUCUCUUGAACAAAUAUACAAUAUUAAUCCGCAUUUGGUGCCAUACAGUUCAAAUAGUUCUCCUGUACUAAAUCUCAACCGUCCUUUUUAUCUAUCCUAUAUUAAAAUGUACCUUACUAUUAAUUGUAGAUUAACAGAUCGUUCUGAUGUGAUUAUUGGUUUGCUACAUGUCGGGACUUUUGACUAGAGAUAUAAAAGUCUCAUUAAUUCGAUAAAUUGUGUCAUUAAAACGUCUGCUUUUCCAUCUUAUCGAUAUGUUAUAUAUUGUGACUGCACAAUCUUGUAAACUGUUUUAUAUGCUAAAUAUCAUACUUUCUAAAGUACAUGUUUUAACGGUGCAACUGAUUGCGUGGUUGUAAAAGUUUAUUUCGACGAAUAAAAGGUUUUUUGAUCAACGAGGGAAGCAAGAAAUAAUUCUGCAAAUGUGUGAGUGUUGUCUCUUUCUGAUAGCGGUGAAUAAAAAUAGACUGGGGCCUCUGACUUAAAAAGACAUGAACCAUCGCACAAUAUGAAGUUAAACAGGCCACUAGGCUUUUAUUUAUUUAGGGGUAAAUUGAUAAAUAAGAUUUGUUGACGAUUGAGAUCGAAGCUGUUGAUAUACAAAUUCAUCCAAACACAGAUGACAGUUGGGGUUUAAAACAAGCACAUUAAGUUCUACUGUCCUUUGUGAUUUAAAAAUAUGUUCGUAAUGUAAUUUAAAUAUAGCAACCGUAUUUAUCUAAUUUUUUUAAAACUACAACAUGAUAUUUUGUGAGUGAAAAUCACAUUUGAUUAUUUACCCUACUACUGGAGUAUCCAUCUCGUUUGACAGUUUUAUUUCUGCAACUAAUUUUUGUUUCCUAUUUAUCCCGACGUACAGAAAAUAUCUUGCAGUAAAUGUGGAUUCUUUUGUAUUUACUGAAUGUUCAAAUAUAGCAAAUUAGUGCCUCAAACUUGUUUUUAUGUUAUUGCUCCAAAUUAUAUUUAUUCACACAAUAAGUUUAAUGUAUCAAAUGGGGAUCGUAUGUAUCUGCGGGAAUCACCUGCUAUUGUAAUUAGAACAAUCAUUGUUGUCCUAUGAAGGAUGUUGCUGUCGCUGGGAUCAAAUCAUUUACAAUGGUCUUAUAUUUGAUUAAAAUGACAGGCAGCCACCUUGCUGUGCUAUCUCGCUGUUAUCAAUUCAGACAUUCAGACGUGUAGUCGUUGGAUAAAAAUACAUAUAAAACCCCUGCGUGCAGUUGUAUGAAUACAUUGGUGUAUUUUCCCUGGUAUUUGAAUCAAGGAUUUUACACCUAUACUUCUAUCAUGUAUCUUGGUAGCUAGUGACCAAAAACAGCUCGCCAUGAUAAUCCAUCCGGAGGCAACCUGUCCGUGUACUUAUGGAAGGGCCUCGAAAAGCUUCUCUUCUGAUUCAACCCCUUGUUCCUAAACAGCUUGGGAUAUACGGCGUUUAGUGAUGUGCAAGAGCGACCUGUCAUUUUCUGUCAAAUAUUGAUGGUGAAAAAAAACUGAUGGCAGAAUUAAACAGCAAAAAAUGGUUGUAUAAAAUGCAAGUAAUGACAGUAAUUGUUCGGUAAUUUUGUGAAUUAUACGCCAAAAUUAUUAAAUAUGCCUUAGUUGUUCUCAUUUUAGCAUAUACAGGAGUUCCCCAAAUGCCUUGCGUGCCCCAAAUGGACGGCCAUUACAUGUUUUGCCCUUAUGGUCCCCAUAAUCCAGUUUUAUACAUUACAUCAGCUGCAUAAAUUUAAAGUGAUUUGAUGAUUAUUCCAUUGUACUGUCUGUGUAGAAUAUUAAAUAAUGGCAAGAGCCAUAUGUGCGUAGAAUUUG